GAACACUGACACUUUAUUGUGAUUUAUAGAUAUUUAUUCUUCUUAUUCUGGAAACCAUUCUUUAUAUUCAGGUCAGUUAUAUUCUUUACAUUAGUAUUUGAUGCAUGUAUUUCUGUAUUUUUAUCUUGGUAUAAAAGAUAUGAAUGUGUUAUGAAAAUGUGUAUGAAAGUCCACUUUGAUUUCCAUGAGUAUGAAAGAGUUCAUAUUUUUGCUUUAAGUUGGUAUUUGCAAGACAGAAAGAAUAUUACAGUUAUUAUAUUAUUUUUCAUAUUUGGCUGUUAUUAGAUUUCAGCAUAGAAUAUUGUCUUGCAUUGAGUUUAACUAUAUUAUUUACUAGUUUUGACAUUAAGACUUAUGAAGUCAUAUUUCUUUAUAUUCAGAUUCCAGUAUGUGAAGUAUAAGAGUAUACAGUAACUUUAUAGAGGAGCACUGCUCAGCCCUUGUAUUAUAUACACGGGUGUUUAUUUGAGAUUACUAUAAUAAACCAAUAGAACCUUACUCAGAUGUUAUUUACGCCCAACUUGAUGAGUCUACAAAUGGCGCCCAACAUUCCAGUAUGUGAAGUAUAAGAGUAUACAGUAACUUUAUAGAGGAGCACUGCUCAGCCCUUGUAUUAUAUACACGGUUGCUGAGACCCCAAGCAAUGAUAGGUGAUCAUGGUGAUAUUGUGACAAAAAUGCAGUUUAUGCAUACGCCAGUAUUUGUAAGUCAAUGUUUAAUUGUAGUCCAUCAUAAAUUACCCGUUUGAACAAAACAUAUUUUCGAACAUCCUGGCACUUUAAAUUUCUAGGAGGUGAGAUUCUCGGGCUUUUACCUCAAACUCUAUGGGAAUUCACAAUUUUAAACUCAAUUUAAAACAAAAUGGUAAAAGAUAUCAUAAAGAUACUUUAAACCCAUGUGUAAUAUGUCAGAAAUCGAUCUUAAAUAAAAACUUAGCGAUUCAACAAAUUAAAAGUAAAUUGAUUUUUAAAUGUGUAUUAUUACAUAUGGUAAAACCGGAGGAUUUGUCCCCGCUUCAACUCCAAUAAUUGUAAAUGCUCUUUUGUUCCGACGUUGGAAAGUUCCGGGCGGAAAGAACUAACUAUCCGAAAAGUUCCGGAGGAACUUAUCAACUAGCCACAAAGUUCCUCUUUGGCAAAUAAGUCAAAACCGGAACUAACAAACUAGCCCAAAAGUUCCAACGGAACUUAUCAACCAGUCACAAAGUUCCAUUUGGAGAAUUGAUGCAAAGUAAAAGCGCAACAUAUUAUCUUUGAACCUUUUCAAAGGUGAACAAAGAUACUAGCCACAAAAGUCAAACGGAACUUAUCAACUAGUCACAAAGUUCCUCUUUGUUAGGGUUAUGGUUAUGGUUAUUGUUAGGGUUAGGUUAGAGUUAGGGUUAGGGUUAGGUAAGGGUUAGGGUUAGGGUUAGGGUCAGGGUUAACUAUUCAACUAGCUACAUUGUUCCGGGACUUUUCAACUAGCUACUUUUUUUCCGGAACUUUUCGACUGCACUCGGAAUAAAACAACUAGUUAGAAAGUUCCUUCGGAACGAAAUAACUAGUUGAAAAGUUCCGCCGGAACAAAGUAACUGACGGAACAUAGUGGCUGUUACAUAGUCAUCUGUACUAUUAUUUGUUUGUUUGUCUUUUUAUUUUUGGCCAUGGCGUUUUCAGUUUGUCUUCGAUCUAUGAGUUUGACUGUCCCUCUGGUAUCUUUCGUCCCUCUUUUACAUCAGUCACGUCUCAGUCCUUACAGCUGAAAGGACGUGCUGGGUCAGCUCCACUUUACCCGCUAUCUACGAUGUUGGUAUACUGAUAGAUGGACCAACGACACACUACUCUCGAUGACAGAAACCAAUCCAAUGCUGUACAGUACGUUGUAUAAACUUGAAGUUUCGCGUAAAUACCCACGUUAGCAUAUGGUCCGUAACACCCAUUAUGGGGGAUAUAUUAUGCUGACUGACGUCCGUGGGCCUGUAUCGAAGGUGUUGGAAAAUGGACCCCCAUUUCACUGUCUUACGGCUUUGGUCCUGAUAAAGCUUCCUGUCAUCGUUAUUACUAUGUCCGAGACCCAUCGACCAGUACUUCAUCAUCGUGGAUAGUGGGCUGCCAAGCUGACAAACCUGGCCCUGAAAGUUGCCGUUGUGAAGGCAGUAAACAACAACAUAAUAGUCAACAAACCAAAAAGAUCUUACCAAAACCAAAAUGGCGGCCGUCCUUUCCAACUUUCCAUCGUCACGCAUGAAAAUAUUUUAACGCUCACCAAACGCAUUCGGGCACCCAGUCGGCCGUGCGAGGGCUUACCAGCCAGUCAAGGUCGUUAAACACCACUAGUUAAAUUGCGAGUUCGGUCAUUUGUAUUUUGGCUGUUGAUGAGUAAAGAAAGCAUCGUGAAUUUAUAUAAAACAAUUAAAAGAUCUUUAAGAAGAAUUUAGAAGCUGAGGUGUAAGUAGGAAGUUAGUAAACCACUAGGAUUAAGUUGAAAGCUUGUAGUUGGAAGCAAGCAGUU